rnacentral:rRNA from 1 species
AUUGAACGCUGGCGGCAUGCCUUACACAUGCAAGUCGAACGGCAGCACGGAGCUUGCUCUGGUGGCGAGUGGCGAACGGGUGAGUAAUAUAUCGGAACGUACCCUAGAGUGGGGGAUAACGUAGCGAAAGUUACGCUAAUACCGCAUACGAUCUAAGGAUGAAAGUGGGGGAUCGCAAGACCUCAUGCUCGUGGAGCGGCCGAUAUCUGAUUAGCUAGUUGGUAGGGUAAAAGCCUACCAAGGCAUCGAUCAGUAGCUGGUCUGAGAGGACGACCAGCCACACUGGAACUGAGACACGGUCCAGACUCCUACGGGAGGCAGCAGUGGGAAAUUUUGGACAAUGGGCGAAAGCCUGAUCCAGCAAUGCCGCGUGAGUGAAGAAGGCCUUCGGGUUGUAAAGCUCUUUUGUCAGGGAAGAAACGGUGGGAGCUAAUAUCUCUUGCUAAUGACGGUACCUGAAGAAUAAGCACCGGCUAACUACGUGCCAGCAGCCGCGGUAAUACGUAGGGUGCAAGCGUUAAUCGGAAUUACUGGGCGUAAAGCGUGCGCAGGCGGUUUUGUAAGUCUGAUGUGAAAUCCCCGGGCUCAACCUGGGAAUUGCAUUGGAGACUGCAAGGCUAGAAUCUGGCAGAGGGGGGUAGAAUUCCACGUGUAGCAGUGAAAUGCGUAGAUAUAUGGAGGAACACCGAUGGCGAAGGCAGCCCCCUGGGUCAAGAUUGACGCUCAUGCACGAAAGCGUGGGGAGCAAACAGGAUUAGAUACCCUGGUAGUCCACGCCCUAAACGAUGUCUACUAGUUGUCGGGUCUUAAUUGACUUGGUAACGCAGCUAACGCGUGAAGUAGACCGCCUGGGGAGUACGGUCGCAAGAUUAAAACUCAAAGGAAUUGACGGGGACCCGCACAAGCGGUGGAUGAUGUGGAUUAAUUCGAUGCAACGCGAAAAACCUUACCUACCCUUGACAUGGCUGGAAUCCUUGAGAGAUCAGGGAGUGCUCGAAAGAGAACCAGUACACAGGUGCUGCAUGGCUGUCGUCAGCUCGUGUCGUGAGAUGUUGGGUUAAGUCCCGCAACGAGCGCAACCCUUGUCAUUAGUUGCUACGAAAGGGCACUCUAAUGAGACUGCCGGUGACAAACCGGAGGAAGGUGGGGAUGACGUCAAGUCCUCAUGGCCCUUAUGGGUAGGGCUUCACACGUCAUACAAUGGUACAUACAGAGCGCCGCCAACCCGCGAGGGGGAGCUAAUCGCAGAAAGUGUAUCGUAGUCCGGAUUGUAGUCUGCAACUCGACUGCAUGAAGUUGGAAUCGCUAGUAAUCGCGGAUCAGCAUGUCGCGGUGAAUACGUUCCCGGGUCU